rnacentral:ncRNA from 1 species
CCUGCUAUACGACUAGCAGUAGCCUAGGAGGACAUGCGUCACUGGCAACGGUGGGGUUUGAAGCUCUUCUGACAAUGAAGCCUCCGGAAGUUUUCGGGCAAAUCGGGACCGUGAGGCGACGAUUUGGAGACUCCAAGCAGCGGUGGGGUCGAGGAG